rnacentral:rRNA from 1 species
UACAGAGGUCUCAAGCGUUUGUUCGGAUUCAUUGGGCGUAAAGGGUGCGUAGGCGGCGCGGUAAGUCGGGUGUGAAAUCUCGGAGCUUAACUCCGAAACUGCAUUCGAUACUGCCGGUGCUUGAGGACUGGAGAGGAGACUGGAAUUUACGGUGUAGCGGUGAAAUGCGUAGAUAUCGUAAGGAAGACCAGUGGCGAAGGCGGGUCUCUGGACAGUUCCUGACGCUGGAGGCA